UUGGAACUUGAAGGAAACCACCCCCCCACCCCUUUUUCUCUCCACCAAACUGCCAACAGACAUAAUGGCUGAGCUGCACGCAGGCAUUGUUGAUCAACAAACAGUCUUCAAACUUGUUCAACUGUCUCUCACUUGAACCCAAAUUUUCAGGCUCUUAAAUUCUCAUCAACAACUAGGAUAUGAAGAAAUGAAUGUAACAUCUUUUUCGUCUAUCUUGUAUUUCACUGACAAGUACAGCAGUUCUUUACUUCUUUCUUACGGCAGGCUUUCGUGCAUAGACUGAAGAGCAUGGAUCAUGUCCAUGCCAUUUCUUGUCUUCACACUGAGAAAUAGGACAGAAAAGGGCGGAAAGGUGACAAGCAUUUGAAUGAAUGAAACUUGCAUUGACAUGGAUGUGGAGGUAGCGACCACAGAAGAUGGCCAACCGGUGGGUCUGCCUACUUGCUCGGGUUGGGUGGCAGAAAGGUUGUGCGCCAACAGGAUGUGGAUUGAUUGAACGUUAUAUAUGGUUGUGACCUAAUUGAUGUAAACCACAACCAUAUUUUGGAAUCGAAAUAAAUAGUGCUUAUACCUUAGGGUUUGGGCUCGACUUAAGGCUCGACAAACU